UACGACUACAUAUCAGGCAUAUCAAUAAGCGGAGGAAAAGAAACUAACAAGGAUUCCCUUAGUAACGGCGAGUGAAGCGGGAAGAGCUCAAAUUUGAAAUCUUAAAGGGUUGUCCUUUACGAAUUGUAGUUUAUAGAAGUGUUUUCUGUUGAGGUUUCGGUAAAAGUUCUUUGGAAUAGGACAUCAUAGAGGGUGAGAAUCCCGUAUUUGGUUAUUCAUUCUAGCUGUGUGAUACACUUUCAACGAGUCGGAUUGUUUGGGAAUGCAGUCCAAAAUGGGUGGUAAAUUUCAUCUAAAGCUAAAUAUUGGCGAGAGACCGAUAGCGAACAAGUACCGUGAGGGAAAGAUGAAAAGAACUUUGAAAAGAGAGUUAAACAGUACGUGAAAUUGUCAAAAGGGAAGCGUUUGACACCAGUGUUGUUUAGUUGAAAAUCAGUUCAAUAGUUUUUGAUUCUAAGUAGUAUUGACUUCAUCAGCUUGCUGCUUUCUUCUCAGAAAUUAUUGAAUGCACUUUUCAGUUAACAAGUCAACAUCAAUUUCUUUUGUUGUAAAAGGGUAAGAGGAAGGUGGCUUGCGCUUCGGCUCAAGUGUUUAUAGCCUUUUAACUCUGCAAUCGGAGAGAUUGAGGUCUGCAGCGUAGAUCCUUCGGGGUUAGAUACACUUGUGCUAAGUUGUAGCUUUUCAUAGACAACUUGUUGACUAUGUUUAGUCAUGUAGCUUACUCGCUUAUGCUAUUUUACCUACGCUUAGGAUGUUGAGUAGCGACAUACGCAC
rnacentral:rRNA from 1 species